GUUCAAACGCGCGCACGCACACACACACCAUACACAUACAAUACACACACGUUCAUCAUCAAUUAUGUGGCCGUGCCGCCGACUACGGAUAAUAUUGUAGUAGUAGUGGCCGAAAUACGUAUCGCGUCGUUGUGUUUAUUGUGAAUAUCAUGUUAUGUUGUUGUUAUCGGCCGUGGUGUUAAUUGCCGUCGGUGUUUCAUUGUGCGACUGUGAUGUUGUCGCCGCUGAAUUAUUAGUGCCGCGCACAGUCAUCGAAUUACGAUUAUUAUUAUUAUUAUGUAACGGAAUCGGAUCGCCGGACACUGCUGCUGGCGUCGUGCGCGAAACGGUGGAUAAAACGUAAUUGAAUGUAUGGUGUGUGCUGCAGACUGGAAGGCACCGUGGAUUCUAUACCACAGGGCCUAUUAGACGGCCGCCCUGCCAGUUCACUGGUUCUCACUCAUCAUCAGUAUCAACAACUACAACAUAUACAAGCACAACAAGAACAAGCGGCUGCAGGAGGAUUAACAUUAACACUUCAUCAUCAAACUACUGGUACAGGAACUAACGGUGUACUAACAGGAGGACCUCAACUAGUUCUUGCAAGUUCUCAAGGGCAAGGGAUAACAACUUUUCCUUCAGUAACUACUCAACAAGCAGCAACAUUACAUCAGCAUACUAGUAUUCAACAAGUGUUACAUCAACAUGUUCAACAUUCAAACAUUCUUCACUCAACAAGCAUACGACAGAUGGGUGCCCAACAGCAUACAUCUGGUACAAUGGUUCAACAACAACAGGCUACAGCGAUAUUGGAUACUACAAAUACUAAAUGUAUACCGCCUUCGCCUGGAUCACCAUUUUCUUCACGAUCACUUACUCCCUCUCCCCAGCAGAGAGUUAUUACACCCCAACCACAAGUUAUCCAUCAGAUGAUGAGUGCUAAUGGUCCGGUUUUACAAUUUAUACAACCAAAUAGUCGAAAUAAUGUAAAUAAUGUUCAAGUAAAAAGUAAACCGCCGCCCCAAAUAUUACCUAAACCAAUGGGUAGUAAUAAUCAUGUACAGAACCAUGCUAGUAUUAAUAGCAUAAAAUCACAACAAUCACAUCAUUCAACCUCAAUACAUAGUCAACAACAAGGUGCUUUCUUAAUAAAUCAAAUUAUGCCAACUACUGGUGUAAUAGUUGGUCCACAAACAACUGGUGGUCUUCAGCUUAUUCUCCGAUCCCCUAAUACUCAAAAUACUAAUACCCAACAAGCUCAAGUUACAUGCAAUGGUACCCAAAUAUUACUUCAACAGCCCAGACAACAGUCAAAUCAGGUUGUAAGGUUAGUAAGUGGUCAAAGUGUUCAAUUGCAACAAAUUCAAACAUGUUCUGGCCCAGCAUUAGUUGCAUUGUCUACUAAUCCUCAAUCUAACAUCACCCAAACAUCAAAUAAUAGGUCAAUGAAUAUUAAAAAAAAGAAACAGAAAAUUCAUUCAAGGCCUCAUGAUGAUGAACCUGUACGAUUAGAUUUAGCCAAUCUAAUCAAACUUUCAGGUAUUGAUGAAGAAGACUCGGGUACACCUAUAAUACAACAAACUCAAAUAAAUCAAACUAAUAGAAUUCAACAAACACCUACUCCUCCUCCACAAUCCCAUCAACAAUCUGCACCAUUAUUAGCUCAAUUACAAACUCCUACUUCUUCGUCACAGGGUGGUUUCCGUUUGUCUUUGGGAGAAGAUGGCCGCAUGAUUGUACACCAACCCCAAAUUACUGCUAAUACUCUUACUCAGAGUGUUUCAGCAAGUGUUGCUGCUGCAGCACAAACUCAAUUAGCUCAGUUAGUUGCUGAUCACGGUGGACAUAUUCUACAAAAUGCUGUUUUAAGUGUUGCUGGUGCUGAAUCUUUACUUCUGAAAGGAAGCAAUACUAUGCUACCGACUCAACCUCAAAAUGGUUCUGGGAUGCGUAUUUUGGCUGAUGUUUCUGGGCGCCUUCAAAUUGUUACUGUAUUAGAACCACCGUCAUUACAACAAAAUAUUAUUAAUGGUCAACAUUUAAUGUUUCCUACUACUGGUACUCCUGUGAGUGUUGAAAAUCGGCAAAAUCAUCAACAGUUUGUAAUGUCGACACCAGUUGAAGAUCAACAGAACAAAGUUGUACAACAAAAUAAUAGUAUUCGAGUUAUGCAUAGUAGUAGUACAAUGGUCUCAAGCUUAGAUCAUCAACAAAAUAGUAGUAUUCAGCUGGUUUCAAAUAUGUUAGAUAGUCGAUUAUUAGUGGCAGCAAAUAAUGAUUCUUCAAGAAAUAACGAUAUAGUAUAUAAUGAAGAACAAAACCGAUUACAAAUAGUAACUAAUUCUUCUACUUUAAAUAAAAAUGUAGAAUUACAGAAUCAGUCUCCAAUAAUUCAUACUUCUGAAAGAGUAAUGCAAACUUCAAUAUCAAGGUCUAAAACCGUGCCAGUAUCUUCCCAUAGUCCUAGAAGUAUUCAAUCUGUGAUAAGUCCUCAAUGUAGUCCAGCUAUGUCUCAUAGCUCUAGAAGUAAUUCAAAAAGUCCUGCCUCCUUUAAUUCUCCUGUACCUUCACCGAAUGUUUCCCAGUCAUUUACACCCAUGUUGCCUAAUAGGCCUAACUUAACCAUUGUAACUUCACCUCAACAAAGCAAUAUGCAAUUCUCAAAACCAUGUGCUGCCAUCAUAUCACAAUCAAAUGAUAAUCAUAUGACAUUAUCUAACUACCAGACUUCUGUAAUUAAUAGGACAAAUAAUAGGAGUCCUGUUGCUAUUUCCUCAAAAAUAUUCAGGCCAAACAGUCCACCUAAAGCUUCUGUUCCAGUAGAAGUUCAAUCUCAAAAUGCAUUUUUAGAUAGUAUAGCCCAAUCUCAUCCAAAUAUAUUAAUCAAUAAAACUAUGGUUGUUCCACCAUGUGCUAAUAAAGCACCUAUUAAACCAAGAAAAGUAAAACGAGCUGCUGUUGUAAAACCAAUGGUAUUUCAAUGUGAUGAAAAAGAAAAAGAACUUCAUGAUACACCAGUUCCUUUAAACUCGCCAGAAAGUAGUAUUUCAAAUCAAAGGGUUAAAACUAUACAACUUACACCACAAAAACAACAGCUGUUAAAAGCAGUUCAAAAUCAAAUUUCUGCAUUGAGUGCUAAAAAAUUUCGUACAAGUAGUGAAACAACUGCUUUGCAGAGAUUGUUUAACGAACAGCAGAAAAUUUUACAAUGUGGAAAAAUUGUUCCUACGCUUUCUGGACAAAAUUCACAAGGCAUUACCUAUGUAUCUACACCUGUAAGAUUAGUGCCUCCUCCUUGUCCUAUGACAUUAAGUCCUCCCCAUACUAUUUCACCUCCUCUUCCUGUACAAACAUCAAUAGCUGCAUCACCUCCAACCAGCAAUAAAGCAACAUCUCCUUUACAUGUUCAAGUGGGAACGCAAACAUCAUGUGAACCUUCCCCAACUCUUCCUGCAUUUAGUGCUUCAAAACGAAUAUCAUUGAUUUCUGAACGAAUAGCAGCAGAUCAAUUAGGUGCAACUAAUCCUGAUGUUGUCUCUCCAUUUAGUUCAGCCAGUGAUGCUGUAAAACGAUUAUCACGUUAUCAUUGUUUAAAUGAUGCUGUACUAUCAGAGAGAGAUUUAGAGUUGGCUGAUGAAAUAUUUGAAUCUACUGCCAAACAUUUGUUAGAUAAAAAAGCAUCAUUAUUUAACAAAUAUCGUUACCUAUUAUUUAAAGAAAGUAUGAGAGAAGUACAAACGUCUGAAUUGAUUAUGUUGGGGCGAUUAUUUGAUGCUGAUGAAUCUGCACAAUUACAGCAAUUAAAACAAAAUGUUAAUACAAAUUCAAUUAAUACAUCAACAAGUUGUAGUGAUGAACCAAUAUCUAGAAAACGUGAACAUCAAUCUGAAGAUGAUCAGACUAUAUCAGAAAACAAACGCCAUUGCCCUGAUGAUGAAGAAAUCAAUGCACAGGUGCAAAACGCCAUAGACAGUAUUUUGAAUUUGCAACGCAGUGAUCCGGCAACGGAUGAAGCGGUGCGCAGCAUUUUACCGUCCUAGCAUAUUGGUCCUAGGAAAUUUUUGACCACAGCAUGAACAUUAAAAUAUUGGUUCCUCCGUGUAUGGAUUUCCUAAAAGCGAUUAUGGAAUUGGGUUGAAAUAUUGGCUAAUAAUUUUAUUAUAAAAUAUCAAUUAUAAAGACAAUACCAGAAAAAUUAACAAUUCUAAAACAUAAACGCAAAACAAGAACUUUAAUUCAAAGAACACGGAUUUGCUUUUUUUGUCAACCAUGAUUUACUAACAUAAUAAUCAUAAAUAUAGUUGUUGAUUGUUUA
rnacentral:misc_RNA from 1 species